rnacentral:rRNA from 1 species
UACGUAGGCAGCAAGCGUUGUUCGGAGUUACUGGGCGUAAAGGGUGUGUAGGCGGUUCCUUAAGUUUGCUGUGAAAUCUCCCGGCUUAACCGGGAGGGUGCGGUGAAUACUGAGGGACUAGAGUACGGGAGAGGAAAGUGGAAUUCCUGGUGUAGCGGUGAAAUGCGUAGAUAUCAGGAGGAACACCGGUGGUGUAGACGGCUUUCUGGACCGUAACUGACGCUGGAGGCGCGAAAGCUAGGGGAGCAAACGGG